GCCACUGAAUUAAAUUUGAAGGGCCGCAGUAUUUUGACUGUGCAAAGGUAGCAUAAUCAUUAGUCUUUUAAUUGAAGGCUGGUAUGAAUGGUUGGAUGAGAUACAAGCUGUGUCAUAAAAAUUAAUUUUUGAAUUUACCUUUUUAGUCAAAAGGCUAAAAUAAAGUUAAAAGACGAGAAGACCCUAUAGAGCUUUAUAUAAUUUAUAUUUAAAUUAUUAAGAUUUUUUAAAUUUAAUUAUGUUAUUAUAUUUUGUUGGGGUGACAAUAAAAUUUAUAAAACUUUUAUUUUUAUUUCCCAUUUAUUUAUGAGUGUAUGAUCCAGUUUUAUUGAUUAUAAAUUUAAGUUACCUUAGGGAUAACAGCGUAAUUUUUUUUGAGAGUUCUUAUCGACAAAAAAGAUUGCGACCUCGAUGUUGGAUUAAGAGUAAUUUUGGGUGUAGAAGUUCAAAGUUUAAGUCUGUUCGACUUUUAAAUUCUUACAU
rnacentral:rRNA from 1 species